rnacentral:rRNA from 1 species
AUACGUAGGUGGCGAGCGUUAUCCGGAUUUACUGGGUGUAAAGGGCGCGUAGGCGGGGGUGCAAGUCAGAUGUGAAAUCUAUGGGCUCAACUCAUAAACUGCAUUUGAAACUGUACUUCUUGAGUACUGGAGAGGUAGACGGAAUUCCUUGUGUAGCGGUGAAAUGCGUAGAUAUAAGGAAGAACACCAGUGGCGAAGGCGGUCUACUGGACAGCAACUGACGCUGAGGCGCGAAAGCGUGGGGAGCAAACAGGAUUAGAUACCCUGGUAGUCCACGCUGUAAACGAUGAAUACUAGGUGUGGGGGGACUGACCCCUUCCGUGCCGCAGUUAACACAAUAAGUAUUCCACCUGGGGAGUACGGCCGCAAGGUUGAAACUCAAAUGAAUUGACGGGG